rnacentral:rRNA from 1 species
GGGUUGUGAGGUUAAGCGACUAAGCGUACACGGUGGAUGCCCUGGCAGUCAGAGGCGAUGAAGGACGUGCUAAUCUGCGAUAAGCGUCGGUAAGGUGAUAUGAACCGUUAUAACCGGCGAUUUCCGAAUGGGGAAACCCAGUGUGAUUCGUCACACUAUCAUUAACUGAAUCCAUAGGUUAAUGAGGCGAACCGGGGGAACUGAAACAUCUAAGUACCCCGAGGAAAAGAAAUCAACCGAGAUUCCCCCAGUAGCGGCGAGCGAACGGGGAGCAGCCCAGAGCCUGAAUCAGUGUGUGUGUUAGUGGAAGCGUCUGGAAAGGCGCGCGAUACAGGGUGACAGCCCCGUACACAAAAAUGCACAUGCUGUGAGCUCGAUGAGUAGGGCGGGACACGUGGUAUCCUGUCUGAAUAUGGGGGGACCAUCCUCCAAGGCUAAAUACUCCUGACUGACCGAUAGUGAACCAGUACCGUGAGGGAAAGGCGAAAAGAACCCCGGCGAGGGGAGUGAAAAAGAACCUGAAACCGUGUACGUACAAGCAGUGGGAGCACGCUUAGGCGUGUGACUGCGUACCUUUUGUAUAAUGGGUCAGCGACUUAUAUUCUGUAGCAAGGUUAACCGAAUAGGGGAGCCGAAGGGAAACCGAGUCUUAACUGGGCGUUAAGUUGCAGGGUAUAGACCCGAAACCCGGUGAUCUAGCCAUGGGCAGGUUGAAGGUUGGGUAACACUAACUGGAGGACCGAACCGACUAAUGUUGAAAAAUUAGCGGAUGACUUGUGGCUGGGGGUGAAAGGCCAAUCAAACCGGGAGAUAGCUGGUUCUCCCCGAAAGCUAUUUAGGUAGCGCCUCGUGAAUUCAUCUCCGGGGGUAGAGCACUGUUUCGGCAAGGGGGUCAUCCCGACUUACCAACCCGAUGCAAACUGCGAAUACCGGAGAAUGUUAUCACGGGAGACACACGGCGGGUGCUAACGUCCGUCGUGAAGAGGGAAACAACCCAGACCGCCAGCUAAGGUCCCAAAGUCAUGGUUAAGUGGGAAACGAUGUGGGAAGGCCCAGACAGCCAGGAUGUUGGCUUAGAAGCAGCCAUCAUUUAAAGAAAGCGUAAUAGCUCACUGGUCGAGUCGGCCUGCGCGGAAGAUGUAACGGGGCUAAACCAUGCACCGAAGCUGCGGCAGCGACACUGUGUGUUGUUGGGUAGGGGAGCGUUCUGUAAGCCUGUGAAGGUGUGCUGUGAGGCAUGCUGGAGGUAUCAGAAGUGCGAAUGCUGACAUAAGUAACGAUAAAGCGGGUGAAAAGCCCGCUCGCCGGAAGACCAAGGGUUCCUGUCCAACGUUAAUCGGGGCAGGGUGAGUCGACCCCUAAGGCGAGGCCGAAAGGCGUAGUCGAUGGGAAACAGGUUAAUAUUCCUGUACUUGGUGUUACUGCGAAGGGGGGACGGAGAAGGCUAUGUUGGCCGGGCGACGGUUGUCCCGGUUUAAGCGUGUAGGCUGGUUUUCCAGGCAAAUCCGGAAAAUCAAGGCUGAGGCGUGAUGACGAGGCACUACGGUGCUGAAGCAACAAAUGCCCUGCUUCCAGGAAAAGCCUCUAAGCAUCAGGUAACAUCAAAUCGUACCCCAAACCGACACAGGUGGUCAGGUAGAGAAUACCAAGGCGCUUGAGAGAACUCGGGUGAAGGAACUAGGCAAAAUGGUGCCGUAACUUCGGGAGAAGGCACGCUGAUAUGUAGGUGAAGCGACUUGCUCGUGGAGCUGAAAUCAGUCGAAGAUACCAGCUGGCUGCAACUGUUUAUUAAAAACACAGCACUGUGCAAACACGAAAGUGGACGUAUACGGUGUGACGCCUGCCCGGUGCCGGAAGGUUAAUUGAUGGGGUCAGCGCAAGCGAAGCUCUUGAUCGAAGCCCCGGUAAACGGCGGCCGUAACUAUAACGGUCCUAAGGUAGCGAAAUUCCUUGUCGGGUAAGUUCCGACCUGCACGAAUGGCGUAAUGAUGGCCAGGCUGUCUCCACCCGAGACUCAGUGAAAUUGAACUCGCUGUGAAGAUGCAGUGUACCCGCGGCAAGACGGAAAGACCCCGUGAACCUUUACUAUAGCUUGACACUGAACAUUGAGCCUUGAUGUGUAGGAUAGGUGGGAGGCUUAGAAGUGUGGACGCCAGUCUGCAUGGAGCCGACCUUGAAAUACCACCCUUUAAUGUUUGAUGUUCUAACGUUGACCCGUAAUCCGGGUUGCGGACAGUGUCUGGUGGGUAGUUUGACUGGGGCGGUCUCCUCCUAAAGAGUAACGGAGGAGCACGAAGGUUGGCUAAUCCUGGUCGGACAUCAGGAGGUUAGUGCAAUGGCAUAAGCCAGCUUGACUGCGAGCGUGACGGCGCGAGCAGGUGCGAAAGCAGGUCAUAGUGAUCCGGUGGUUCUGAAUGGAAGGGCCAUCGCUCAACGGAUAAAAGGUACUCCGGGGAUAACAGGCUGAUACCGCCCAAGAGUUCAUAUCGACGGCGGUGUUUGGCACCUCGAUGUCGGCUCAUCACAUCCUGGGGCUGAAGUAGGUCCCAAGGGUAUGGCUGUUCGCCAUUUAAAGUGGUACGCGAGCUGGGUUUAGAACGUCGUGAGACAGUUCGGUCCCUAUCUGCCGUGGGCGCUGGAGAACUGAGGGGGGCUGCUCCUAGUACGAGAGGACCGGAGUGGACGCAUCACUGGUGUUCGGGUUGUCAUGCCAAUGGCACUGCCCGGUAGCUAAAUGCGGAAGAGAUAAGUGCUGAAAGCAUCUAAGCACGAAACUUGCCCCGAGAUGAGUUCUCCCUGACCCUUUAAGGGUCCUGAAGGAACGUUGAAGACGACGACGUUGAUAGGCCGGGUGUGUAAGCGCAGCGAUGCGUUGAGCUAACCGGUACUAAUGAACCGUGAGGCUUAACCUUACAACGCCGAAG